rnacentral:tRNA from 1 species
GGGGUUGUGGCUCAGAGGUAGAGCACUGGCCUGACAUGCGUGAGGCAUUGGGUUCGAUCCUCAGCACCA